AUGCGAGAGAGGAGAAGGGAAAGGUGGAGGGCUAAGGGGGGCAAACUGAGGGGAGGCGGGUCCCGCAGCCGAGACUGGGAUCGUCUCCCCCUCCGCAAAGCGAACCCAAAAUGGCGGCGGGAGCGGCGGCGGCGGCGGCGGCAGCAGAGCGGCGGCAGCGGCGGCGGCAGCUCCUCCGGAGGGAGGGAGCGAAGGGCGCCUCGCGCCCCCCCACCUCCCACUCCUCCCUCCUUGCGUUCUUCCCCACCGGCCCCCACUCCGCCCGACUCUGGCCGCGCAGCGCGCACGCCUGCCCGCACGCGUACGGGUGUCUCCCGGCUCGUCGCUGGCUGCUCCCACCAAGCACCACCUUCGGCCGCCCCGCGCGCCAGCCAGCCCGUACGCGCCCACCCAGGGACACCUCCUCGCGCGGCCCCCAGCUCCCCCUCAGGCCCUGUCAAGCCGGCUCCGGCGCAGGCCCUCACGCGUACCUUCAGCGGCGCGAGCCCAAGCCUCCUCCUCCUCCUCCACCUCCUCUUCUCUCCUCCCCCCCUUCCCCGCCCCCACGGCCACCAACCGCCGCCACUGCUGCCGCCGCCGCCGCCGCCAGGCCCCCCCACCGUCCACCCCUCGCGCGUGAGCCUCCCACAAUCCCCCCCGCGAGACUGUUCCAUUCCUGUCAGCUGCAGGGGCAGGAGAGGGAGGGACAGGCAGAGCGGCUCGGGCCUGCAGUUUGACUGGAAUUGCCAGGGUGGCGGGCCGAGCCCCAAGACAACCUACCUCCCUUGACUCGCCGCCGCGGCGGUACGGGUCGCCUCCCGCUCCUCCCCUCGGGACCGCGGCUAGCCGGUCAAGGGCUGCCUAGCGCCCCUCUGCCGGCCGGCGGUUGGAGGCCGCGGCGGCUGCGCGUUGAGUCGUUUCCUGCCGGACGACUCAAGCCUUCCUCGCAGUCGCAGGACUGGCGCCUCGGAGCCGGCCCCAGGCGGUGUGUGCCGGUCGCCCUGUCAGGAGAACUAGUCCCCGACUCACGGUGAGGGAAUGGACCGGCGCGGGGUUGUACCGCUGUGAGAAAGGAGCGGGACUCCGAACUUCCCGGAGGUAGGGAGUGAGGUCAGCAGGACGGGUGCGCCUCCCUGGGGGAUUCCUCCCGGGCGCUGAGCUGCCAGCAUGGGACCGGAGGAAGAUCGGCGUAGUGGUCCGCUUUUUGUUGUUGUUAACUCGGCUCAGAUUUGUCGAUUUUCACACCCCUGCCCCUGUGCGAUGAUGUUUGCCUUUGACGCUCCUCGUGGAUGGUACUUCUUCAGCCUCGUUAGACGGCCUGAUGAUGGACGAUGAAGAAACCAUGUGCUUUUCAUUCAGUUCUGGACUCAGUUUCCCUCGUCAUCCUUCACCAAGUUAUUUUUCUUAGUUCCUUAUCAAAAAGUAUACAUACAAAUUAGGCAACUCCAAACACGCCUCCAGGGUUGGUGUGUGAAAUAAGAAGAUAAUAUAUGUAAAGUGGAAUUAGCUCCUAGGCAUGGGCAAAGUGCAGAGAAUUGCGGUGUUGUCAUUUACAGUUCUGUUGAUGUCGAUAAGGUGUGUGGUUGUAACUGGUAGUUUGUGUUCUCUCUCUCCAAGUUGUUAAUAAAACAAAGCAAAAACA